rnacentral:rRNA from 1 species
AUGAACGCUGGCGGCGUGCCUAAUACAUGCAAGUCGCGCGAACGGACGAGAAGCUUGCUUCUCUGAUGUUAGCGGCGGACGGGUGAGUAACACGUGGAUAACCUACCUAUAAGACUGGGAUAACUUCGGGAAACCGGAGCUAAUACCGGAUAAUAUUUUGAACCGCAUGGUUCAAAAGUGAAAGACGGUCUUGCUGUCACUUAUAGAUGGAUCCGCGCUGCAUUAGCUAGUUGGUAAGGUAACGGCUUACCAAGGCAACGAUGCAUAGCCGACCUGAGAGGGGGAUCGGCCACACUGGAACUGAGACACGGUCCAGACUCCUACGGGAGGCAGCAGUAGGGAAUCUUCCGCAAUGGGCGAAAGCCUGACGGAGCAACGCCGCGUGAGUGAUGAAGGUCUUCGGAUCGUAAAACUCUGUUAUUAGGGAAGAACAUAUGUGUAAGUAACUGUGCACAUCUUGACGGUACCUAAUCAGAAAGCCACGGCUAACUACGU